CCUACGGGAGGCUGCAGUGGGGAAUAUUGCACAAUGGAGGAAACUCUGAUGCAGCGAAGCAGCGUGAGUGAAGAAGUAAUUCGUUGUGGAAAGCUCUAUCAGCAGGGAAGUAAAUGACGGUACCUGAGUAAGAAGCUCCGGCUAACUACGUGCCAGCAGCGGCGGUAACACGUAGGGGGCCAGCGUUAUCCGGAUUUACUGGGUGUAAAGGGAGCGUAGACGGCAUUGCAAGUCUGGAGUGAAAGGCGGGGGCUCAACCCCCGGACUGCUCUGGAAACUGUACGGCUUGAGUGCAGGAGAGGUAAGUGGAAUUCCUAGUGUAGCGGUGAAAUGCGUAGAUAUUAGGAGGAACACCAGUGGCGAAGGCGGCUUACUGGACUGUAACUGACGUUGAGGCUCGAAAGCGUGGGGAGCAAACAGGAUUAGAUACCCCAGUAGUC
rnacentral:rRNA from 1 species